ensembl:lncRNA
UUUCUUCAGACUGAUGAGGCCGUCCUGUUCACAGCUCAGACCAGAACACCGACUGACACCAGCGGGUUUUAUUGCUGUACAUGUAUUUAUAAAACAUUGGGAAGAGAAUACUUAUGAAACAACACACAUACACAUACAUACAUACUUGUUUUUUUUUCAUUUCACAAUCACGUAGGUUUGGAAGGUAAAAUAUACAGCAUGGUAUGUUACGUACAAAAGAGAAAGAUGGUAAUAAAUAAAUAAAACAACACCAGUGAACGCCAGUUAGAGAGCCCAUCCUCAGGGCCUGGACCAGGACCAGGACCAGGGCCUGGACCAGGACCAGGACCAGGACCAGGGACCAGGACCAGGACCAGAACCAGAACUCUGACCAGGGACCAGGACCAGGGUCCAGGGACCAGGGACCAGGACCAGGACCAGGGACCAGGACCAGGGAUCAGGACUCUGACCAGGACAAGGGACCAGGAACAGGACCAGGACCAGGACCAGGACUCUGACCAGGGACCAGGACUCUGACCAGGACUCUGACCAGGACCAGGACUCUGACCAGGGACCAGGACUCUGACCAGUGACCAGGACUCUGCCGCGGCUGAAGCACAGCAGGGGUGAGGCUGGGAGGUUGAGGAGGAGGAGGAGUUGUGGGAGGGGGCAGAGGGACACAAUGCUUGCACACCUGGAUGCCUGGCAGUACUCUUGUCUGAUCUGUCCGCACACUGGGGCGGGGCAUAGGGUGGGGGGGGGAAGGUGAGGGUAGGGGGUAUACCCUGGGUUGGGACUGCACUGAGUCACAGUGAGUCAUAGUGAGUCACACUGCACUGAGUCACAGUGCAGUGAGUCACAUCACAGUGAGUCACAGUGCAGUGAGUCACAGUGCAGUGAGUCACAGUGAGUCACAGUGAGUCACAAUGCAGUGAGUCACAGUGAGUCACAGUGCAGUGAGUCACAGUGCAGUGAGUCACAGUGAGUCACAGUGCAGUGAGUCAUAGUGAGUCACAGUGCAGUGAGUUACAUUGCAGUGAGUCACCAUGAGUCACAGUGCAGUGAGUUAAAGUGCACUGAGUCACAGUGAGUCACAGUGCAGUGAGUCACAGUGAGUCACAAUGCAGUGAGUCACAGUACAGUGAGGGUCCAGUGAGAAGGGUAGGAAGAUGAUGAAGGAGAAGAGGCUCCUCCCACAACGUCUGUCUUAUAAAGAGUCCUUGUGGCGACUCGUCAUGCGGGUUGUAAAAGCUCGGAGGUCGUCGUCUUCCUAUUUUUUUUGUUAUUUUCAAACACCGUAUAAAACUGUCUCCUUCUAUCGGAACAACCGCACAAACACAACAAGAUACACAAGCAGACCCACACAACCCUGAUUCUCUUUUCUGUUUCAGGACCACUGGAAACAAACAGGCUAUGCCUGGUGGGUCUAUCAGGAUGAAACGAUGGAUUAGCUUACUAUUGGUUUCUAUCAGUAGAGGAUAGCGAGAUUUUCUUUGUAUUUUUUUUGCAUUGCAACUUCUCCCAUGCAGCCCUACUCAAAGUACACGGUCUAAAUCAGAAAGGGUGGACAAAGUCGACCUUAAAGAUGAACGAUUGAUAAUAUGGCAAACACAACUCUUCUAGACAAAGCCUUCAUGGUGGCAGGCUGGUUCAUUCCUCACAGCCUGAGACUCUGCCUGUUGGUGCACACAGUGAAACAACAGGGUUAGACUCAUCUCAGUAUAAUAUGCUCUGCCACACUCGCUGUACUGGUCUGAUGUGGGGCCCACUGGGCUUCCACUUUACAUUUUGGUUUCAACACCCCCCCUCUUCUGUUGUUCACACAAAGCGUUCAGCGAUACUGUGGAAUCAAUUGGUCUGAUCGGGGUGCUCAGUGACAAAGAGCGAUCAAUAGCAGCCAGUGAAGCUGAGCAGGGCUUGAAUUUCGCACUAAUAUUCAGAGAGAGACCGUCCCCUGCUCAUUACACAAGUCACCCCCCUCACCCCCAUAGCUCCACCACGUGCAACAGAACCCCCUGAACCCUGGUCCCACAGAACCAACAUAUCAGAAAGAAAGAUUUCAAUAGAGAAUAAAGAGUUUUGUAUCAAUAGACAAUCAUUCUAAAAAAGAUAUACACAUUAUAAAAUAGACAUCUUCAGCGUUCUCUAGAGAGUCAUUAAAAUCUUCUGUUCCACUUUCCACCUUCAUAGAUGAUCUGGUUCCUCUGUCUGGUUCCUUCACAGGUGAUCUGGUUCCUCUGUCUGGUUCCUUCACAGGUGAUCUGGUUCCUCUGUCUGGUUCCUUCACAGGUGAUCUGGUUCCUCUGUCUGGUUCCUUCACAGGUGAUCUGGUUCCUCUGUCUGGUUCCUUCACAGGUGAUCUGGUUCCUCUGUCUGGUUCCUUCACAGGUGAUCUGGUUCCUCUGAUCACCUGCGCUUGUAUCUCUUCAGCUUAAACAGGAACAAUCUAUUUACAGGGUGGUUACCACGGAGACGCCUUGGAGCCGGUCUGGUCCAAUAGGAGGGCGGUGGGUUUGGAGUGGGGGGGACGAGGAGAAGGCCAAAGGUCACGAUGGGGAGCCCCGUCAGUGUUCUGGAGGUUCAGGAGGAGGUGCCAAGACCCCCCCAGACCACCCAGAUCUCCCCAGACCCCCACGGCCACAUCAAAUAAUUGCAUACAUGUCUUUUUUUAAUAGCUAUGACCAGGUACUACUACUCAUCAGUUUCUGAUUGGUAUUGUCUCACUGAGCUGGCCCCCACAGCCCUGAGGUCCUCCAGCAGGCUGCAGUUCACUUACCGACCAGAGGGGGCAGUGACGAGGAGGAGGUCCUGAUUCUUACACAGAGUGCCUUUAAUGUAAUCAGUUGGUUUUUCAUUGUAUUGGUCUUUAUGUCAUCUUUUGUAGCACAGGUCCAACGGGCAUAGGCUUGUCCGGCAGUAUGGAUUGUGGCCCACAGGCUAAAGGCUAACCCUAGCCUUUGCUGUAGAAAGUGCUGUGUGCACCAUGUGUGUUGCUGGAGCUAGCCAUGCUAGCUGGCCAUGCUAGCUAGCCAUGCUAGUUUCCCACAUGUCUAACUGCAUGUCACUUUGGCAGAGCCUGAGGCUCUGCUGUAACUACAGCACAAACCACAGGGUUCCCUUAAGACGGCACUUAAAGUUAGGUGCAGUAGUGGUGGAGGAGGUGGAGGAGGUGGAGGUGGAGGAGGAGGUGGAGGAGGGGCUGUAGGUGGAGAUUGAGGUGGAGGAGGUGGAGGAGGAGGGGGAGGUGAAGGAGGCGGAGAUAAAGGUGGAGGUGGUGGAGGUGGUGGAGGAGGUGGAGGUGGAGGAGGUGGUAGUGACCGCCCAGCUCAUGGACCUCUGGAUGAGGGCCCGCCCCCCUCAGACCGCUGGCCUCUGGGGGGGGCGGGCGGGUCUGGAGGGGCUCAUGGUCUGGGGGAGGCCCCGGUCCGGUCCAAGCGUCAGCGCGGGUCACCUCCGAGAGACGGCGCCAUCACCACACACGGGGGCGGCGAUGGGGGGUCUCCUGCAGGCCUCUGCCGUCACGAGGAGCCAUUCCUAUUGGCCCAGAGCAGCUCGGGGGUUAGGGGCGGGGCCUGGGGGGGUGGGCGGGGCCUCCAGUCCCCCCGCCCCUCGCACUGUGCCCGCCUCCAGUUGAGCAGCUCCCCCAGCGGGGGCGUGUCCCGCCCACAUGGCCCGCGGAGCCGCUGGAUCAGCUGGGGGGGACAGAGGAGGAGUUAGAGGCUGAUGGGACGUCCUGACAGACACACAGUGGGGG